rnacentral:rRNA from 1 species
ACGCUCGACACCUACGGGAGGCGGCAGUGGGGAAUAUUGCACAAUGGGGGAAACCCUGAUGCAGCGACGCCGCGUGAGCGAAGAAGUAUUUCGGUAUGUAAAGCUCUAUCAGCAGGGAAGAAACUGACGGUACCUGACUAAGAAGCACCGGCUAAAUACGUGCCGNAGCCGCGGUAAUCUGAGCGGGCUGGCAAGGC